CCCGGAACUGCAGCACAGGGGAGCGCGCAGGGCCGAGGCGGCCGCGGCCGGAGACAUCAGAAGCUGGUACAAUCUCUUCAGUCUGGUUUAGACCACUGACAAUUUUUCUAAAUCUGUGACAACUCACUCCAUUUUGACUCAGAUGCUUUGUCCACUACCCCAUUCCUGGGAUAAACCACCCUCUAAGCUAGGAUGUAAGAAGGAAUACUUGGAAAGCAAACUAUCUUCCAGAACACACUGAAGGUAUUUUCAGCUACAUUAAUAUUCAGUUUAACACUCCCACUCCCACAAUGUCCCCUUCAGCUUCCUUUUUUUUUACAAGUAUUUGACUUCAGCUUUCAUUUAUUUUGUUUUGAAGAAAACAUUGUAUCUGCAGGGAUUGCUGUUCUUCUAUGCUGUCAGCUGGUGGUCAGACACUCUUUCUGAAACUCUAAAUCUACCUGUCCUGCCUGUGAUGUAAAGCCAGAAACAUCAUUGACACAAUCAGCAGGGAGAUGUGCCAAUACAUCAUAAAUAUAUACUCUGCUGCUGUCAGUCUUGGUAUUGUGCACUCUCAGCAUUCUGAUACACUUUGACUGAAAAAAGCCCAUCUUCUCAGGUAAACUGUAAGGUUUUUAAAAACACAAUAAAAGUUCUUGAAAAUUUUGAUAGGAAUUCCCCUUUUGGUGAGUCUUUCAAGCAAAGACACAUUGCCUUUCAUGUAGUUCUCAGUCAGUCCUCAUUACUUUCAGCAGCUUGUUAAAUGCUGUAUUAAUAUUUUCUGAUAUGCUGAAGUCCUGGGGUUUGGGUUUGUAGUAAACACAGGGUUGAUAAUAUACAGAUGUUUUAGUUAUUGCUGAGCAUAUUACACAGAGCCAAAGCCUUUUCUGCUUUUCGGAUUGACAACCUAGUGAGGAAGUGCAUGGGAAGCUGGGAGGAGACACAGCUAGGAAGGUGACCCCAGCUGACCGAAGGAGUAUUCCAGAAUGUAUGACAUUGACUUGGGGAGAACAGAGAAGAACUGAGGAAUGUUUGAAAUUAUGGAGCUUACAUUGCUAGUAAUUAUUAUGCAUGAUGGAACACAUUUUUUCUGGAGAUGGCUGAACACUUACCAGUCUAUGUGAAGUGGUGAAUGAAUUUAUUUUACUAUUUUUACAUUUACCUGUUUUAUUAUUAUUUUUCUUGUGUGUGCAGCAUUUGGUUUCCUAAUAUAUUGUCUUUGGCUCAAAUUACAAAUUUUCUCAUUUUACUCUUCUGAUUCUCCCCCAGUCCUGGUGGGGGAGUGAGUGUGAAGGUGUGUGGGGUUUGUUUGCUGGAUGUGGUGAAUCCACAACACCUUCCCUUUUCCAUGACAGCCCCAUGGAGCCUUCUGACUACCUAACAAUGGAACACCUGCCUUGCAGAGAAGGUUUCGGCAUUUGUAGUUGGUUCAGGGAAUACGAGAGGCUGCACUGUCACAUAGAAGACUCCAGUGCUGGGAUCAUGGGUCCUGCAGCUCCAUGGCUCACUCCUAGCUUCUUUCAUAUUCAUCCCAGCUAUGGUGAUAUGACACAGAGAAUUUUACCCAAGAAACAACAGAUGUUGCAAGAAAGAGAAAACCUGGGGCAGUAAUGAACUUGCUCUCAGAACAAGAAAUUCCUAGUACAAAUGGAAAUACAUUUGCUGAAAGACAAUGUUCCUGGUUUGCCAUACAUCCCAUCUCUCUCCCUUUGUCUGGGAAAAUCCCACAGGUGUAAUCUGCCCACAACAGGAGCAAUUUUUUCUGUUAGGAAAGGUGAAAAUCCUAGAUGUAUCUGCUGAGGACAUAUCCAACUAUUUUUAAUGCAGCAUUGCUUGGGAAAGAGGUAGAUGAUCUCCAACAUUAAGAUAUAAUUGAGAAUUUUAGGGGACAUUCAUUCCUUAGCUAAAGUAUUUGUGAUGUCUCAAGCUUACGGAGAGUUUAUUUGGUAGAAAUUGUAUAGGCAACUAGUAUGUAAGUCAUUGUAAGAGUAACCGGGAAAUCCUCAGCACAUUUUUAUUCCCUAAUUUCACUGAUUUAUUAAUAAUUAAUAAUCUCCAGUAUUUUUAUCCUGAUCUUCAAUCACAGAAUUCAAAAUUGAGCUGCAAACACUAACUGAGUUUCAGGGUACCUUUAAAACAGAACCUAGAGUAAUCAAACUUUAAAUUCUGUACUUGUAUAAACAUAUGUAUGUGAACUGCACUUGUAUAAACAUAUUUGUGUGAACUGACAGGACAAGAAAAAUUUUGUAUCACUUCCCUGUUUCUUCUUUUGUGACAAAGAGUUGAAAUUUAGCCAUGAUAAGGCAUUAUAUGUUUUAUUAUUAAAAAACCAAUAGGACACAGUUGAAUAAUAAUUGUGCUAAUAUUUUAUCUAAUUGUUGUGUUACUGUAAUAGUUUGGCUUCCAAGACUAGAGUCCUUUGGCUGUUAUUCAUGAACUGAAAGCCAGAGUCCUUUUUAAAUAAUCAUGUGAUAACCUGUCAAACAUCUGUUUGUUGAUACCUUAUAUUACCUCUGCAAGUACAGCUUCUAACCCAAAAGAGAGCAGCUGUCAAUAGGAAACUUAAGAGCUUGAAACAUGGAGAAUGUGAAAAAGCAAUCCCUACAAUGAAAGAGGUGCAAAAAGCCCAGGAGAGAGCCCUUCAGGAAAAGAGUAACUUAUUGACAUAAUAUGAAAGUUACUGAGGGGGAAGUUUUGAGAGCAAAAGGUAAUGGUAGAGGUGGCUGGAAGAAGAAAAGAGGUUAUAAGAUGAAUGUUUGAGGUUUUUCACUUAAGUAUUCAGGAAAAUGGUUUCUGCUCAAAAUAGAGCAGAAUUUGUACUGCAAAACAUCUUGAGAAAAAAGGAAACUGAGUUUUGACUCUCCAUUACUAAACUAUGAGCUCCUUUAUGUAUGUGAUACAUGCAUCUUAUUUCCUUCAAUUUUUUAUUAGACACCCUAAUUUACAAUAAAUGUUUCCUAUGUGCCAGUGUACCAUGCGUUUGUAGUAACAAUGCUAUCUUAUAUUUGAACUUACUGGUGUGUCAAGUACAUUCACAUCUACUUAUGUUUAAAUUUUUCAAAGUUCUCUUCUCUUCUCUUCUCUUCUCUUCUCUUCUCUUCUCUUCUCUUCUCUUCUCUUCUCUUCUCUUCUCUUCUCUUCUCUUCUCUUCUCUUCUCUUCUCUUCUCUUCUCUUCUCUUCUCUUCUCUUCUCUUCUCUUCUCUUCUCUUCUCUUCUCUUCUCUUCUCUUCUCUUCUCUUCUCUUCUCUUCUCUGUUUUGAUUUCUUCAAGAAACAUCUAUAAGAAAUUUCAUGUAAGCUUUUGGGCAGGGGCUUACUUUCUUUGACCUAAUCUUGAGGUACCAAGAGAACAAGUUACAGUGACACAAGGUGCUCUCAUAGGAUUGGAUAGGGUUCACCCAUCACUUAAAGCAUUUGAAGUGCAUGUGCUUUUUUAUAGUUAUCUUUCUUUUUCAACUAAUGCCUUGUCGAAAAUGACAUCUCAAAUUAAAGCCUUUUUGACUACCAUAGAUGAAAUAAGUGCCUCUUCUGUGACUCCUUUUCAAAUAUUUUGGAAACAAUAUGAUUUGAAAAUACUGUUUUCCUUUCCUUUAGAAACAUGAAUGGCAAAUGCUUUCUUUCCAAGAGGUGUUAUAACAGACAUGCUUUGAUGAAACAAAUUUUAUUACAGUAGCCUUUGAAAGGCAGAGAUAGAAUGAAAAGUACAUUUUGAGCAUGAAACCUGGAGCCAUCAAGUACAUAAAACAAGGAAGAAAUUGAGUUAAUUAUAGUGAACACAAAUUUUACAAAAUACAAAGAGGAUCAUGUUAUUUUAAUAAUUUGUGAUAGUCAUGAAGCAUAGAGUUUUAAGAGUAUGCUUUCACUGUGUUGGUGGUAGAUUUUAGCACCACUUUUAAAGAGGCUUAACUAACUGCUCAUGCAUCUGUUUGAGAUAUAGUCCUCUUUAAGAAGUACUACGUAGCCACAGGUGAAGUUGUAGCUGAGAAGCAGACUGCUUUGUGCUACCUCUUUAUAAUCAUCCCUUUAGGGAGAUCAGCUGUGAACCAAGUAGUAUAAAUGUUUUACUUCUCUCAUUUGCUGAGAGCUCUAAAUGCCCUUGUUGUAAAGGAAAAGGUGAGAAAAUAAAAGCCAGAUGGAUAUUUUUGUACCACAUCUGUAAGUAAUACUCAUUCCCAUUGUAUAAGUUACAUUAUAUAAAAUUGAUUAUGUAUACAGGCAAUAUUCACACAAAGUUUACAGUGAUACAUGACAGAUGUAGGAAUAAAACCAAUACAUAUUUUUCCUAAGAAGUUUAGAUCAUCAGGACAUUUUGACUCCUUCAAUAAAAAAGUUGAGCUGACCAAGCCAGUCUUGAUUUGAAAAAGAAAUAUUUUACCAGUCUAUGUGUUUGAAUGUGAAGGUUUUGAGAUAACUUAUGUACUAGUUUAAAUAUACAAACAACUAACACUAUUUUUUUGGUUCUCAUAAAUACACCUGGCAUGCAAGGAACCAGUAAGUAUUUUUUAUAUAGAUAAAAGGAAAUGUGAAUAGGAGAGGGAAUAUAUAAGAGGACAAGCUGUUCUGAAUGCUGGCAUGGUUUUGAUUUUUAUAGCCAGUUGAAAAUGAAUCUGGCACAGUUUCUAGCAAAACAGUGAUGAAACUGCAUUUGAGGGAGCAGGAAAAUCUUUCACUUGCUGUUAUGCUGUUACAGCUGAGCACUAUUAGAAAAAUUAGUGUAAAAUGGAAGUUAAAAUCACCUUUCCCAAAACUAUUAGUAUAUAGAAGUGUAAGUUAUGUAUUCUGCAAUGAUGAAGAUUUAUUAAUAACAUAUUUUCUUGCAUCUAACUUCUCAAGUAAAUGACAUUGCAAUGGCAAUAGUAUAUUUCCAAGGUACUUUUACAACACAGAACUGAAAACUCAGAAGAAAUUUCACCAAACUUGGUUUAAAACGUGCAAGUGUUCCAAGUCUUAAAAAAUACCUCGUAUGUGCAAGUUCUUUUAAAAUUUCUUGUAGAAUUUUUUAAAAUUUAGUUAAACAAUGGGAGUUCUGGCUCUGCUGUAACACUGUAAUCAAAUAGGUGUUGUGCCUCAUGACUUGUGUCUCAUAUAGUCCAUUAUGAAUUUUUUUAAGGAAUAUUUUAGGAUAUGCAAACUGUAGCCCUUGCUUUCUGUAUCCCUUGUGGAUUUUGGUGUUGUAUACUAAGCUUUGAAGCUUCAGCUUCACUAUGGUGCAAAGAGUGGGUGGAACAGAUGAAGGAAAAGUAUUACAACAUACUGUCAAAAGAUCCUGUACACCAAACAACAGAUGUGGUCAGAAGGUAGAUACACAUAUAUAUAUGGGCUCUGACUGUGUUAUAUAACACAAUACUGGCUUUGCAGACAAGAGGUCUUAGUUACUUCUGAUUUAUACUUUGUAUUAAAAUAAUUAGAUGCAAAAAACCUCCUCUAAAUGCAAUAGUGAUUUCCUGUAUGCAAACAAAUAGGCAACAACAACAAAAAGACAAAAUAGGAAAUAGCUUCUCUAUGUGACAUCCCUGAAACUGUAGAGAAAAUUAAAGCAAUAAAUUAAAGCCUUAAUAAGAAUUUCACAUUUUAUUGAUUUUUCAAGUGUUUUCUAGAUCCUUAAGGACAGCAGCAAUGACAACAAUUCUAGGUCUGGAUAAAGAGUGAUGGAUUUUAUACACAGAUUUUUGAUAUAAAAGCUAAAGCAUUAAUUGCCUCAAGUUCUGUGAUUGGGAACAUUUAGUUUUUCAACUGGUAAGAAAGAAGUGCCCAGGGAAAGAAGUUUCUUUCAAAAUCACUGUCUAGUGUUUUUGGUUUACCUGUUUCAUUACAAACUCUAACUUUGUAGGAGUUCAAAUAGAUUUUUGCAGUUACAACUCAUAAAUGUUUCCCACAGGUGGAAAUCUUACUGAGGUGUGUUUAUUCCUGGCUGCUUUCCUGCUUCUUUGUCAGAAUUCAUCUCAGUGUUCUGAUACAUAUGUUUCAGGUACCAAGCUGUGCUUUUUUUAGGUGCAUGGAAUUGUCAGCUUCAAGAGUAGAUCUUCCUGGCAAUAGUAGUACUAUGGAGUUUGUGAGAUGAAGUACCUUAUAGUUUUUAAAGUAAGGUGCUAAAAGGAAGGCUCCAGUUUAGCUCUUCUCCCCUCUUCAAAUGGCAGGAAAGUAGCAGAGAAAGAAGUGUUAGAGCAUGAAAGAGUCAUAUAAUUGUAAUUCACUGUAUUGGUCUGCAAGUCAGCUUUGAUUAAUAGUAUCCUUCGUACUAAAAUGCAUGAAUCUGUUUACUCUGUGUUAAAGAAUUAAAUCUUCCACCAGAAAACUAACCACUUGUAUUCUGCCUAUUUGUUGAAGAAUAUUAAACCUCAUGGAGUGUUGGCUUCCAUAUGCUCUGUAUUGGGCUCCUAUACGUGGACAUAAUGGUGGAGAAAGAUUGAUCAUAAGAAAUGAAAAAAAAAACUGGCAGUCAAGGAUAAGUAUCAGUUGGUUCUGGUUUUAGUUUGCACUCUUACAUCCAUAACUGUCAAGAGUAAUUGAGAGUUUAACUUUCAGUUGAAAAGAGAGAAGACAGUGAAAAAUAUAUUUCUAGGCAUCUGUCAAUACACUACAUUCUGUACCCUAUCACAUGUAAUUUUGCCAUGAAAAUAUAUCCAGAAGAGAGGCUUUGUUGUUUUUUUUUUUUUGAAAGAAAUGUUUUAAUAAAAGUUUAGUCAAAUACAUCUUUUAGUGAGCUAUAUUUUUCCUGUCUUCCUUAUGUGUUUUACAUUAUAAAGACAAGAACUUUCUUCUGAAAAGCACUAGUCGCGGAAUUAAAUAAGUUAUCACAUAGCUUCAUGUUGUGUUCAGACCCCAAAUCAUAAAACACAGAGGAUAAGAGUCUUUACUAUAGAGCACAAGACAUAGUCUUUAGUAGUCUUGGAGAUUCUCACACUGUAUCAGGGUCUGCACUGUAUAACUACUUAUAUGGUAACCUUUUAAGUGGUUAAUUUCUGAACACAUAGCUGUGAAACUAUAAUGGAAAGAUACUUUGAUUUACACUGGGGAAAAUAUUGCUGCUAUCGCGCUGGCAGGUUAGUGUGGAGAAAGGGUUUUAGAAAGGCCUUGGGAAUGGGAAACUGAGGAAAAGAUACAUUUAUGUAUGCUCCAUUGUUUCGGAAAAGUUUAGCUUCGGCAUUUUUCUGUAAACCCCUUUUUCCCCACGCCUGAGCAGUUCCCAUUGGACCUGACCCCUGGGGUGGUUCUAAUGAGCCCAUGCUGAACACUGUCUCUAUUGUUUAGACCUUAUCUCUUCAAUUUUGCUGUAUAAAACUGCAUCUGGGCAGUAGCAGUAGCCCAGGGUCUUUUGUCCCUGCAACUGUUCAGGCAAUACAAUCUCUCUGGACUGCACACAAUUGACCUCUCUUAGUCUCUUUAUCCCGAAUCCUUGUGGCGACCGAGGCGCGCCGCCGCUCGGACCGUGCUAACCCGGCCGCUGCCUGGUGAGCCCAGUGCAGCGGGACCGCGGCAAACCCCGGUUCCCUGAGGGGACAGCUAGCCGGAGGGGUCCCGGGGGGGCCGGGGAGGGACGGGGGACAGCCGCAAGUGACCCCCAAAAGCCGCAAAUAUUUUUUAACUUCUUUUUUAUUUCUUUCUUUAGCUGUUUCAGUAGACACAUAUUUGUGUGAACAUUCAUGGCUGAGAUCCAGUUUGCCUACCUCUAAGCAGCCUACAAAAGGAGUACAAAGGAUGUGAAGACUCUACACAGGAUAAAAGUGAGCAACUAUCAAGGACAUUCUCACACAUAUUCAAGCUUAACUUGCUCUGUCACUCAAUACACAUGAGGAAAUGCAGGGGUUAUUAUAGCAGACCUUUUAAUUUUUAUGUCCUUUUUCAAAUAUUAAUAAAUAGCAGAUCUUUCAGAGCAAAGUACAGCAGCUCAGUGGUGAAUAGAUAAAAAUUCAUUUGAUCACCAGGAAAGAUAAUACUAUGUCCUUUUCAAGAAUUAGAAGUUAAGCUUGGUAAAAAAAAUAAAAAUUUCAUGUUUUUUGUUUAAAAUUUUGAAAAGAUGGCUGAAAUUUCAGAUUUCAUAUUUUUAAAAAUCUCAGCAGUUUUUUAUUGUUUUCAGUAUAAACACUGCCAAACCUUAGUCUGACAAUCUUGUCUUUUUGGCAAAAAAGUCAUAUUAGUUUGAAGGGACCUCAGGAACCUUGGAUGUGGGUACACAGUGUUUCAAGUACAUAUCUAUGGAAAAUCUGCUAUAAGAUUUCUCAUAUCUUUCUAAUCAACAAGAAUAGUUGUGAAUUGACUGUGAAGCAGCUUCGCAUAUGUUGUACAUUUGAAAUCUGUCAAAAUCUCUUGUCUAGUUUAAUGAAAACUAAUUAUGCUCUAAUGCCACGAGAGCAGCAGGGAUGUUUUCUACUAAAAAUAUUAACUACUAUGUAAAAAUAUUAAAUAAUACCAGAACUGAGGUAUUAGCAGAAAACACAAUCAGCUCUGUAUGAGAAGAUUCAUAAAAGACUGCCAUAGCAUCACAUACAUAAAAAGAAAUUGCCAUCAGAAAGUUGUGGGUCUAAUUUCAAAACCAACAGCUUGUGUUGAACAGAUUUUAUUAUAUUAAGAGUUAGAUAAACACUGUGAAAAAGACCCCUACAAGAACUUCUAAUUUUUUCUUCAAACUUUUGUAAACCUUUAUCCAGCAAGCUUCAUAAAGCUAGUUGUUUUACAAACACUUCCAUGUGAGCUUUCCUCUUUAAUAUAUUCACAGAGUUUUCACUAUGACUGAAUAUUAGUUCUUCUGUAUCAUAUUGUCAUUGCACUUCACCUGUCUUAUCACUCUCACUAUGCACUUAUGAGGGUCAUAAAAGAUAGUAGGGUCUGUGUUUGUGUCUGGUCCCUCUCCCCACUCCAACAGUCUCUGAUAGGCAAUGUGGUUUGUGCUAGGACAGAAACAUCAGGCUGGUAUUGCUGGAGGAACCAUGCAGAUGUUUACACAAUUACUGCAUUCCAGAGAUAAGAAGCUGAGGAGUUUUCAAUUUACUUUGUUGCACAUAAACCUGCAAAGGGGUAUAAAAGUCUAGUGGACAUCGAGUCAACAGUGAAAAUCCAUCUCUCAGAGAAUGCAGAUACUUUCUGAGUGAAUAUCCACCCUGAUGAGGACACCUGCAGUGUACAUCCAGUCCAAAUAGAGAACUUUAGUCACUUUUGCAUAGGUGAGUAAAACGUGUUAAGACCCAGUCAAAUAUGGAGAUAAAAUGCUUAAGUAGCUCCAAGGGUGCUUUUUUACUUCCUUUGUAAUUAUAAAGUCUGCAGAGCCAAAUAAUGUAAACUUGUAUGCUUCCAGAUGAACCUGCUUGCAUUAUAAUCCUUGAGACACAGAUUGUUGAGGAAGUCUUAGACUAUGUGAACCCAGGCACAGCUAGGCUUCUCAGAAGUUUAGAGAACAAGGGGGUCUUACUGAAGUUUGUGACUCAACAGGAGAGACUAUGUCCUAAUGUUACUAUAACACAUAACUAACAAUAGACAUAAUAGUUAGAUACUGAAUUGACAACAUUUAGAUUCUGUUUUAGCAAUAAAUCUAAUAAUAAUCAUCCACAUAGUCACUGUGUCCUACUUUCUGCACCUGUCUGAACCUUAUCUAUAGGUGGGGUUCAGCAUGACAGAUCCCUAUGCUUCAGUAUUUGGUGAGGUCAACAAAUACUAAAAGAGCUAAAGAACUAUAAAAACUUCUCUUCAAAUUAUUCAAGAGCUUUCUAAAGUAUUUAGGCUAGGAAGAGAGGAAUGACAGAAUAAUUUCCAAGAACAAAAAGAAAACGAGCCAAGACAUGUUAUUUUGUUUUGGCUAAAAAUGCAAAAUUACCUAUUUUGUAGCUGCUUUCAUUUCCAGGUUAAACAACUGCAUAAAAUGAACUAGCACUGGAAGCUUCAUUCUUGUCUUUUAGCAGGAAAAAGUCAGUGAGUUUUCAGGGUUUUCUAAAUGAGUUUAGGCAUAUUAUUCAUGGGUGUCUGAACUGAUUUCCAGCUCAAUUCAAAUAGGAUCUCACAUGAUGAGUGAAAAAUCAUAAUCCUAUACUAGUUCAAAUGUAGUGGAAUAAAAUUGAUGCAUGAAAAAAAGAUUGAGUAGGGUAAUAAUUAGAAAAAUACAUUGUAAGGAGUAAAUGUGUAGGCAAGACUGCCAGUUAUAGGUCUCAUAAGGUAUGUUCAAAUACAGAUUUAUAUUAGUACUAGAUGGCAUCUACCAAUGGGCUUCACUCCUUGCAAAAAGUGAAGACAGAGGGACACUUCAGUGUCAGCUUCUCUAGUUUUUAUUUUUUCACAUUUAAAACAUCACAUCCUACUCUCAUCCUCCAAAUUAAAGAUAGGAUUUACAAUCUAAGAGAAAGAGUUAAGAGAAAAAAAUGUGAAAUAAUACAUGGUGUAAGUCUAAAUGAACUCAUAAACCUUUAGACAAAAAUGUGUGUAAGGAUAGUUAGCUCAUGAUACAUGUCUUUGUCUUAUAUAGCUAACACUACACCUAUUAAUCUCAGCUGGAGAACCUCUUCAUAAAUUAUAUUCAGAGCACUAAAUUACACUCCUCUGACUAUUAGGAGAAGGAGCUUAUACCUAUUUAUUCAGUAUACAUUUAAAAAUAUAUAUUUGGUACAGGCUACAGAUGCAAGCAUAGAUAUUUUAUUAGGUCACAUCAAAAGCAAACUAAAUUAGGAAUCUCUGGGUAUCAAACAACAUUUAGCUCUGCCCAUAUCUUUGCAGAAGAGAACACGUCUGUGUUCAAUGUGGCCUGUGGGAGGGGGUGUGGCUGAUGGCCCCCCUGCUCUGCCUUGGGAGGCAACUGACAUUUAGUUUCCCGCCUCACCCGGUUGUCAGUCUUUUGUUAUCCCUUCCCUUUGUUCCUGUCCAUCAUUGUGUAUUCCUUCCCCCAGUUCUGGAAAGUUCUUAGUUCUCUGCACCCCCGUUGGUUCUCCCCUCGAAGCCAUCCCUUCCCUCCAUCCCAGUUGGCUGUUGCCCUGUCGCUCUUCCCUGACUCUGCCCUCAAGCCCUCACCUAGUUGGAUGUUUUGUACCCUGACCCUCCUACCCAGUUAUAGUUAUAAUCUCUGCCCCGCCCCUGGUUCGGGGCUCUCGGACCUGGCUGCCCUUCUGAGUGGUUGUUCCCCUCGUCCCCUGCCUCGUUUUCCCUCCUAUGAACCCUUGGAAAUAAAGCUGUCCGGGAGAC